CCUACGGGUGGCAGCAGUGAGGAAUAUUGGUCAAUGGGCGCGAGCCUGAACCAGCCAAGUCGCGUGAGGGAUGAAGGUUCUAUGGAUCGUAAACCUCUUUUAUAAGGGAAUAAAGUGUGGGACGUGUCCUAUUUUGUAUGUACCUUAUGAAUAAGGAUCGGCUAACUCCGUGCCAGCAGCCGCGGUAAUACGGAGGAUACGAUCGUUAUCCGGAUUGUUUGGGUUUAAAGGGUGCGUAGGCGGCACUUUAAGUCAGCGGUGAAAGUCUGUGGCACAACCAUAGAAGUGCCGUUGAAACUGGAGGGCGUGAGUAUGUGUGAGGCAGGCGGAAUGCGUGGUGUAGCGGUGAAAGGCUUAGAUAUCACGCAGAACCCCGAUUGCGAAGGCAGCCUGCCAAGCCAUGACUGACGCUGAUGCACGAAAGCGUGGGGAUCAAACAGGAUUAGAUACCCGGGUAGUC
rnacentral:rRNA from 1 species